AAUCUGUAGACGCCGAAACGGCCCAGCCGCCGACAACGUCUUUCGGCAUGUUUAUCUUUUCAUCGCUUACUUUACGCUCUUAAUUUAGUGGCGGAAAAGUUGAAUCGUGGGAGCUUUUUCUGCCGCUGUUGACGCCGACUGCGCAAGAUUCGAGACCAUACUAUUAUCUUUUGCGGUGAAUAAAGACGGCGGCAUCGGGAUUUCUUGAAAUGAAGCCCGGAGACAGCCAGCUGGUCGAAGCUGUUCGUAAGCGGGAGGCACUUUGGAAUGUGCGGCAGGCAGCAUAUCACCAGCGCAAGCACAAGCUGCGGCUAUGGGCGGAGGUGGCGGCAGAGACCGGACGAAAUGUUGCUGAUGUAAAGUCAAGAUGGAAGUCCAUCCGGGACUAUUUUAUGAAGUGUCGGCAGGCCCCGCCGAGCGGCUCUGCUGCCAGCUCGACCACCGACGGCGCCACGCAGAGGGAGCUGAGUUUCCUCAAUGAUUCUGUCAAGCCAAAGCCGAGAACCCUGACAUAGAAGAAGAACACUCUGGUGAUCCAUGGCUCGUAUUCUCGGAAGUGGACGACGAUUGGGAGCAGGACUCCGCACCCCGCGCGCCGCCUGCUGGCCCGCAGAGGGCCUCUACACCUCGGGAGCCAUCUGCUGAUCGCCCGCAGCAGGCCUCCGCACCCCGCACGCCGCCUGCUGAUCGCGCGCAGGAGGCAUCUGCUCCUCGGGCGCCGACCGCUGGUCGCCCGCAGCAGGCCUCGGCACCCCGCACGCCGCCUGCUGAUCGCGCGCAGGAGGCAUCUGCUCCUCGGGCGCCGACCGCUGGUCGCCCGCAGCAGGCCUCCGCACCCCGCACGCCGCCUGCUGAUCGCGCGCAGGAGGCCUCUGCUCCUCGGGAGCCGACCGCUGACCGACCAGAGCAGGGCGAAGUCCAGCCCCAGAGGCCUCGCCGGCGUGCCCGUCGGGUGGCUGCCGACGAAGGGACCAGGGAGAUCCUGCAGCGGGCGAUUGAGCAGGUGCAGCAAGCCGUCGAGAGGCUAGAGGACGAUGAUGCCAUCUUUGGACAUUUGGUGGGUCAGGAUAUCAGGCAAGUGGCAACUAGAAAGAAGUCCCUUCUUAAAAUCCAAAUCAUGCAGCUGAUCCACGCUGCGGCAUAUGAGGAAUGAUAUCCAGUCCUGCAACAGCUACAGGGCCCGGCAUUUGUUUUGCUUUAAAUCAAUGCUGUUUUUAAUGUGUUAUAGAAUCGCUAGGCUUAUGUUUGAUAAUGUAAGCAAGCGCUUUUCUCAGGCUCAUUGUUAAUAAGAUAAUGAUAAGAAUCAGUAGCCUUAUAAUAAAGCUCAAUGUAUUGCCGAAUAUAAUUAAACCAGAAUGAGACGACAGUUUCGGGCGUAGCCCAUUAUCAAGUCUGACAAUUCCGGAUUUGAAAUUUCAAAUCCGGAAUUGUCAGACUUGAUAAUGGGCUACGCCCGAAACUGUCGUCUCAUUCUGGUUUAAUUAUAUUCGGCAAUACAUUGAACUUUAUUAUAAGGCUACGGCUUUUCAUCAUUAUCUUUGGUUAUAGAAUUGCCGUAAUUAUUUAUUUGCACAUCAAUUUUGUACUUGUGUUGAUUCCAAUUCAUUACCGUUCAAAUUCAUUACACGCAUUGUGGUUGUAUCUGAUCACGCGUGGUUGUAUCUGAUUAUUUUUUGCAUAUUUCGUCAUGUCUUUUGCAUGCUUUACAUUUGUUUUAUUCGGUUUGAUCUUUGUAACGUAAUAAAUGUGGGCGAUUAAAAUAAACGUCUUGCAUUGGAA
rnacentral:misc_RNA from 1 species